CAGCCGCCGCGGGAAUACGUAGGUGGCAAGCGUUGUCCGGAAUUAUUGGGCGUAAAGCGCGCGCAGGUGGUUUAAUAAGUCUGAUGUGAAAGCCCCCGGCUCAACCGGGGAGGGUCAUUGGAAACUGGGAAACUUGAGUGCAGAAGAGGAGAGUGGAAUUCCACGUGUAGCGGUGAAAUGCGUAGAGAUUAGGAGGAACACCAGUGGCGAAGGCGGCUUUUUGGCCUGUAACUGACACUGAGGCGCGAAAGCGUGGGGAGCAAACAGGAUUAGAUACCCCCGUAGUCCCUGUCUCUUAUAC
rnacentral:rRNA from 1 species